rnacentral:lncRNA from 1 species
CACCCAGUUUUGAUGUGUUUCACCAAUCAAGGCUAGCAAGGAAUGCAGACAAAUAAAAAUGUCAAGCAGCACAGAAAAAUAUUGUGAUCCAGUGUCUUAAUAUGUAAACUGGAUACAUGAUUUCAUAAAUAAAUGACUGACUGCCAUCAGUAGCAGAGCUGUGCCCAAAUUUUAAAGUGACACAUGUCUAAAGAUUUUUAUGACAGUCCUAGUCUGAGAAUUUUCAUAGUAUUCAAAUAAAGUGUAAAAGCUGUACUAUUACGUUUCUUUUUUUAGGGUUGGUAAUUCAUUAUAAAUUUCCCAAUGUUGGAAUAAUUAGUACCCUUGCAGCUGUUUGAUCAUGUGAUUUUAUAUUUAUAUUCAGCCAUUUGUUUUUAGGUUUCCACUGGAGGGCAGAAUUGUUCAGGUUAUCCUGUGGCAUUUGGGGAAAAUGUCAGUCAUAACAAUAGACUGCAGCAUGUGUACAGUUGAAAUGAAAUCCUCAGCUUGAAACAGAUCCUGUGCGGCUGUACAGACAGGUAAGGCAUUUAAUGAAUCCUUCUUUGCUGAUUUGUCAUUUUAAUAAAUUUAACAGAAGUUAAAUAUUAUGUCACAAGGAAACAGACUAAAGAUUUUGUAGUGCUUAACCUCUGGACAACCCAAAAA